UUGAUUACCUCGUAGAUCCAUCUAUGCAUCAUUAUUGCCUCAACGUGAAUACCUGCUAGCUAAUCUUAACAUGUUUCAACAAAACCUUUUUAAUCUUGGGAGUGGUCCUAGUGGACCCACGAGUGGCCCUUUGGUUGCUUGUGGCGAUCAAACCAUCAACUCGAAUCAGCAAUUUCUCUUAAGCAACCCAUAAUUAUCUUCUCAAGAAAGCGCUGUAUGUAACCAGUUGUCAUCACAACAAUCUGACAAGAAUUAAUCGGUGGGAAGAGCAUCACAUACGUUCCAAUAUUUUGUCAAAGGAUUUAUGUUUAGAUGUAAGUGUGUUGUGGUUUUCACCUGUUCCAAGAAGCAGACUCUAGGGACGUUCGGUGUGGAUGUGUUGUCAGUCUAAUAAUUUGUGGCUCUCUGUAAAUUUUGUACAGUCAACUUAUUUUUAUCUUGUGGGCCCACUUUAUUAAUUAUCGGGUAGCCGAGAUUUUUAAUAAGGUGUCCAAAUAAUGCUUGAGUCCGAUAUAUAACAUAGAAUCAUCAAAUCAAAGUACUGCUUUGAAAUCAUAAGCAAACCAAAGUAGGAUUUAUCUGGUAGCUGUUUCAAAAUGAUGAU